AUUGAACGCUGGCGGUAGGCUUAACACAUGCAAGUCGAACGGUAGCAGCUCUAGCUUGCUAGAGGCUGACGAGUGGCGGACGGGUGAGUAACGCGUAGGAAUCUACCUAAUAGUGGGGGACAACCUGGUGAAAACCAGGCUAAUACCGCAUACGCCCUACGGGGAAAGGACGGGGGAGUCUUCGGACCUCGCGCUAUUAGAUGAGCCUGCGUUAGAUUAGCUAGUUGGUGGGGUAAAGGGCUCACCAAGGCGACGAUCUAUAGCUGGUCUGAGAGGAUGAUCAGCCACACUGGGACUGAGACACGGCCCAGACUCCUACGGGAGGCAGCAGUGGGGAAUAUUGCGCAAU
rnacentral:rRNA from 1 species